rnacentral:rRNA from 1 species
CGGAGGGAGCUAGCGUUGUUCGGAAUUACUGGGCGUAAAGCGCACGUAGGCGGCUUUUUAAGUCAGGGGUGAAAUCCCGGGGCUCAACCCCGGAACUGCCCUUGAAACUGGAGAGCUAGAAUCUUGGAGAGGCGAGUGGAAUUCCGAGUGUAGAGGUGAAAUUCGUAGAUAUUCGGAAGAACACCAGUGGCGAAGGCGACUCGCUGGACAAGUAUUGACGCUGAGGUGCGAAAGCGUGGGGAGCAAACAGG